CAUAGAAGUAAUCAAGUGCAAGAACAACCGAAGAAAUCAAGAUGAAAUUACAGCCACCUACUGGGAAUUAAUUCCAUAAAAUCCAUGCAACAAUACUUGAGGACAAUUACAGUCUGCAUUUGAAAUGCAGAUCAGAUUUCUACACGAUCUGGAUUCACAAGGUGUUGAUGUCUGAAACCAUGUCACUCUUCAAAUGGGAACUGCUGAAUCAAGGCCUGAACAUCUGAUUGAUCACCGAGUGCUGAGUCAGCCCUGGGAGCACAGGUGAAGGCAGUUCACCUGUGCUGCUGGACCUAUUUAAGAGCUGACUACCAGUGGGGAAGGAUCUCUACUGGAAAUCCCUGCUUUGGAGUUUUACAGCAAGCCUGGCACAUGGUUGUGUUGCUGUUGUUUUAAACAGCAGCAGGACAAACACGGCCAUUGGGUGCGGAUUGUGAUCAAGUCCAGAGUCUGCGGAGCUCCGUACGUGUGGGUCUGGAUUCUGCAAAACUGCUUUGGGAAGCUUUGAAGGCAAGUGCAAAAAGAACACUACUGCUGCUCCCCGAUGCU